GGAUCAAUGGUGUAAUGGUUAUCACGUGACGUUCACAAUCAAGUGGAUUACAACCUGGAUGUUCGCAUCAAGGUCCGUCAAGGUUCGCGGUUCGAUCCCGCGUUGAUUCA